rnacentral:rRNA from 1 species
UCGAGAAUCUUCCGCAAUGGGCGCAAGCCUGACGGAGCGACACCGCGUGCAGGAUGAAGGCUCUAGGGUUGUAAACUGCUGUCACGCUCUAGGAAUGCCAUGGUGUGAAUAGUGUCAUGGUUGACCAAGGCGAGAGGAAGAGCCGGCUAACUCCGUGCCAGCAGCCGCGGUAAUACGGAGGGCUCAAACGUUGUUCGGAAUCACUGGGCAUAAAGCGCACGUAGGCGGCUUGCUAAGUCGGAUGUGAAAGCCCUCGGCCCAACCGGGGAACUGCAUCCGAAACUGGCAGGCUGGAGGAUGGCAGGGGUGAGUGGAACUCCAGGUGGAACGGUGAAAUGUGUAGAUAUCUGGAGGAACACCGGUGGCGAAAGCGGCUCACUGGGCCAUCACUGACGCUGAGGUGCGAAAGCCAGGGUAGCAAACGGGAUUAGAUACCCCCGUAGUCC